ensembl:lncRNA
GCUGGGGAGGCGGCGGGGGCGGAUCGGGAGCCGGGGGGGGGACCGGAGGGUGGGAAAUGGAGGCGGCCUCCAGGCAGGGUGAACAGGGGGUCCAACCCCGAGUGCCCCCACCACACCUCAGCCACGCCGAGCGGAGCUCUGGCGCGGCCCGCGGGGGUGGCCGGUGGGGGGAGGCGGCCGCGGGAACCUCUGUGUGCUCCCCCUACCAACUGCCCCCAAAAGCCCGGGGCUCCGGAGCCCCUCGGGCCGCACUGCGCCGCUCCUGUCGCCGGUUCCCGCUGCCCCUCCGCUGCCGACUCGGUGAGCCCCCCCGGAAAGUCGCUUGCUUUUAAUGCAGAAAAGAGCUCCAGGCCUGAUCUCGGGCCGUUCCCCUCCCGACACCCCGUACCCGGGACCGAGACCAGGGGGUGGGAAGCGGCUCGGGGGCGGCUCGGCUGUGCGCUUCGGCCCGGCUGCGGUGCUCGCGGGGUGAUGGCUGCGGGCAGCCGGGGGCCGCGCUCUGCUCAGCCCCAGCCCGGCGGCUGCUGAUCGCCUGCGGACGGUAAAGCACCACCACCCCCCUCCAACUGGGAGGGGCUGAAAAAAUUAAAAAAUAAAGUACAAUUUUAAAAUAUUUAAAAAAAAAAAAGAGGGGUUAUUUCUUUCUUCCUGUGCAGAUGGGAGGAAUGCGGCCUCUCGGUUGGCCCCGGCGCCGAGAGGGUUAAGGCUCCCACACCCCUCCUCUUCCAUGAGGUCCGAGCAUCCCUCCUCCCAAGCACCUCCAUCUCCUCUAGCCGCAGCCUCCGCUCUGCUCCCAGCCCUCGGAAGGCAACACGCAGCCGUGGCCGGGCUAUGUUUAUCCGAAAUAAAAUGCAGUGGGCUCGUUUACUUUGGCAGCUUUGCCGUAAAUACUCGGGGGGCGGCGAUGACGCGCUUAUUCAGAGCGCUGCUCCCCCGCCUGUGCGGGCCCUUCUCGAUCCCAGAGAAAGGUGUCAGGAGCUGGGGCCGGUGCUGGCACUGCUCCAUCCCAGAGCGGCACUGCAGGCCGCGGGCACAAUGAAACGGGUCCCUAUGGGGCGAGUCUGUACACUCAGACCUCAUGAACUCCUGCGGGGGAGGGAAGAGGGUCACCGCGGCAGCUCUUUGCCUUCCCUUCGGCAGAGGGAACAGCCGGCACUCGCCGCCUGAAUUUUAGCGAAAGCCUGACCUGAACGCUUUGCAAAAUAACCUGCCCAGGUCUAAAGGAGUACGGCGACGGAUUAGAAAUACAAGCAGGAAAAAAACCCAACAACAAAAACUAACCCGGCACACAUUGCUCUCUGUCCAGGCCACCGGUCCUCUUUCCUGGGACUUGCAGGGCUGGAUGGAGCUGGAGACACUUUUACACACACCUCCUCGGGGCACCAGAAAAAAUACAAGUGAAGAGCGUGGUUGGAGAAAGGUUCUCAUCCUCCAGCCGUCUCUGGGGUGUGUCCCUGCGGGAAAGGCUGCAGUGUCCCGGCACGGCCCGGCAAAGCAUAACACGGCCCAGCCCGGCUCGGCACUGCCCGGCCUGGCACACGGCCUGGCUCCUGCUCGCUGCCAGCCCGGCAUCCAGCUGGGACAACAGGGUGCCGUACGAUUUUGGACCCCUCCCAAACACCGUAAUCACUCCCAUCCCUGCAGCAAGACCCGCUGUCACCUGGUCCCCAUCCCCAAACAGCUCUGGCGCUCUCCAGCCCCAUCCAUUUUGCCUCGGAUGGGAGAAGAAAACCAGAGGGCACUCGGAGGCGAAUCCCCACCCCAGAGCACCCCCCUUACCCCCCGCCCCCGAGCCCGGGCUGCCCUUUCCCCCAACCUUGAUCCUGCAGUGUGCUCUUAGCAGAGGCGCAAUGAAAGCCCUGCUCCCCCCCCGCCUCCCCUCCCCCCACCGAUCCUUCUGCUCCCACCACCCCACCACCGCUGGCUAAGCAGAAAUUGUAAAUAGAGUUCACUAUUUGGAUAUAUAUAUUUUUUAAUAGCCAGGCGUAUGCAUACAGUUUGCCGCUCAGGAAGUAGAACUAAUUGUCGUUUCCUACAGUCAAACAGAUCUAUCUUUUCAAUGUUGUCUUUGUGUGUCUGCAUGCGAGAGAGAAAGGGGGAACGACUGGAUACGUUUAUUCAAUUAUUUAAACACACACACACAACACAACAACAAUCCCGAGGAGGAACGAGCCUUCCCGAAGGAGCCCUCCAGCUCUCCAGAUGCGGCAUUCUCCCCCCCACCCCCGCCCGCUCCCUGCAGACCCAGUAGAACAAGGCACCCGGCGAGAGAAACCGAUUUUAUCUGCUUUGACCAUCGGCCGCGUUCUUUAACAACCCAGCCCCGGCGCUGGAACCUUGCCCACCUCCUCCGGGGUCUGCUCCGACCCCCGCCCCCGGGCACCUCCGAGGCACCGGCGGGCGCCGGCUGCAGCAGAGCGUGGAGGGAAACCGGGAGCCUCUGGCACCGGCGCUGCCACUCUUCGCUCCCAUUUUCUUCGAGAUGCCACGGAGCCACCCGGCGAUCGAUUGAUACCUCGGCCCGGGGGAGAAAGGGGGGGGUGGAACCAGCUGUUGCAAAAGGACAUGGUAAAUCUAAUAGGGACUACUGUCAAUAGAGAAAUGACAGAGAAGAAGAAUUGGCUUCUUAAAGUCUGCUGAACUAACACUCAUCAUGCAGCCGCGGACACGUAUUCUCAAUCGGAGCCUGGUAUCUGCCCGAAGCCCCAGCGCAUCCAUCCGGGGGCUGCGAAAGGCACCGAAAUAUCGCAGCCCGACCCUGGGAAAUAUAGAGAUGGCGGAGAAUUUCCCCGUACAACUUGGUCACCGAGGCCAACCUAAAGGUGACACCCGACGUGUAGGGGAGGGAGGGAGAGGGAGCUGCGGGCUGCGUCCCAGCGAUGCUCCAAAAGGUGAUACUGGACGAGGAAAGAACUCUCAUCCUCCCCCAUCGCUUUCCAGCUCUCAGUGCUGCCAGAGGACAAAUCUCUGGGGCCAGCAGUCCGAUCCCAGCACCUCGAUGCCUUCGGGGCUCCGGGCAGUCCCCCCGGCAGCCUCGUCCCUUCUGCACGUCGGGGAAAAGCUCAUUUCUCUGCACCCACAGGGAUGGGACACUGCAAAACCCUCCAGAGACGGCCUCCGUGGGGAGCAGAACGAGCUGGGAACGUUUUUUUUUUAACAAAAGGGCUCUUCUCCGUCUUUAGGGCGUGGGAGGUUUUUGCAGCGCCGUUUUAUUUUAGCUUAGAAUGUUGAACAAACUUCAGAUUGAUUUCCGGAAAGCGCAAAUGCUCACACAUGGGAAAAGUGAAUAAACUGGUCCUUCGAGGUCACCCGAGAGGGGGAGACGGGAUCUGUACCCCCUUCCAAAAUAACAUAAAAUAAAGUAACAGAAGGGGAAAGAUCUUAUGCUUUUAUAGUUCAAAACUACUUUGAAUGAUUUGUUUUUAAUGGCACACGUGGCUGCAGAAAAGAGGCUCUGCUUUCGAUCUCGCGCUUGCUCCUCGUUUUUCUUGUAGGUGUGCGCGGACAUACGUGUGCUUUGCAGCCCCCACCUGAUGGCUCUCCCCGUCACCCCACCCUCCCCGGACCCGCAGCACGUCGCAGGCCACGCUCUCCCGUCGCCGUGUCCUCUGCCGGGAUCCAGAAGCACGGGCACAGCCGACUCCUACCCCGGCGCUUCUCCGGAGCAGCAGGGGUGUUGUGAACACUUAUUAAACCCAGAUGAUCUGAGAGUUGGGGCAUACGGAAAAGAUUUUCAAUUAAAGCCGAGAGCAGCCAGCUUCGCGUCGCAGGUGUAAACAAUAUUUGUGCAGCUCUCGCUUCUCAUCCCGGAGCGGAUCCUUCCCCUCGCUGCAUCCCGCAGGGAGGAGAAGGGAAGGGGCCGCUUCUCUCUCCGGGCCCCACUCGCACCUCGCCGGGCUCCCCACAUCGCUCAGUGCACACCCGGGCGGGUCUGUGCCCUGCAGCCCCCGGCCCCGAAUCUCCUCCCCUCCGCUCACCUGUUGCUGCAGCCGCUUCCGUAAGGGCAGGGACUAAAAGGAAAAUUCAAUAGCUCCGGUCUAGGAAAGCGGCGGCGGUGUAAAGUGUUGCGGUGACACGGGAGGUGGGUUGGGACGGCACGCGGGGACAGUGGGCAUCACCGCAGGCUGCUGGGUACGCGCUCCCGCUUGGAAGAAGUGCUUUCUCACAACUUUGAUGCCCGAUUUAGGGGGAUCUGGGAGCUCAAAUGCAGCUGGGAACACGUUUCCCAGUUCGCCGAGAGCGUUCGGGUUCACGAAGCACCUCGGGGGCCGUGGGAGCGGCCCCCCGAACAGCCCCUGCCUCGUUAGCGAGACCGGGCACGGUCGCUUUGGAUGAUCCGGUUUAAAUAACGGAG